UUUUGUAUAAUGGGUCAGCGACUUAUAUUCUGUAGCAAGGUUAACCGAAUAGGGGAGCCGAAGGGAAACCGAGUCUUAACUGGGCGUUAAGUUGCAGGGUAUAGACCCGAAACCCGGUGAUCUAGCCAUGGGCAGGUUGAAGGUUGGGUAACACUAACUGGAGGACCGAACCGACUAAUGUUGAAAAAUUAGCGGAUGACUUGUGGCUGGGGGUGAAAGGCCAAUCAAACCGGGAGAUAGCUGGUUCUCCCCGAAAGCUAUUUAGGUAGCGCCUCGUGAAUUCAUCUCCGGGGGUAGAGCACUGUUUCGGCAAGGGGGUCAUCCCGACUUACCAACCCGAUGCAAACUGCGAAUACCGGAGAAUGUUAUCACGGGAGACACACGGCGGGUGCUAACGUCCGUCGUGAAGAGGGAAACAACCCAGACCGCCAGCUAAGGUCCCAAAGUCAUGGUUAAGUGGGAAACGAUGUGGGAAGGCCCAGACAGCCAGGAUGUUGGCUUAGAAGCAGCCAUCAUUUAAAGAAAGCGUAAUAGCUCACUGGUCGAGUCGGCCUGCGCGGAAGAUGUAACGGGGCUAAACCAUGCACCGAAGCUGCGGCAGCGACACUGUGUGUUGUUGGGUAGGGGAGCGUUC
rnacentral:rRNA from 1 species